rnacentral:rRNA from 1 species
UAGUCCACGCCGUAAACGAUGUGUGCUAGUUGUCGGGUCCAUAGGAUUCGGUGACGCAGUUAACGCACUAAGCACACCGCCUGGGGAGUACGGUCGCAAGAUUAAAACUCAAAGGAAUUGACGGGGACCCGCACAAGCGGUGGAGCAUGUUGUUUAAUUCGACGCAACGCGAAGAACCUUACCUACACUCGACAUACUCGUCGGGACUUUCAGGGAUGAUUGUCUUCGGUUCGGCCGGACGAUGUACAGGUGCUGCACGGCUGUCGUCAGCUCGUGUCGUGAGAUGUUUGGUUAAGUCCAGCAACGAGCGCAACCCCUAUCGUAUGUUGCCAGCAUUCAGUUGGGCACUCAUGCGAGACUGCCGGUGUUAAGCCGGAGGAAGGUGGGGACGACGUCAAGUCAUCAUGGCCCUUACGUGUAGGGCUACAAACGUGCUACAAUGGGAGUUACAGAGGGUCGCGAAGCCGCGAGGUGGAGCUAAUCUCAGAAAACUUUUCGUAGUCCGGAUUG